UAUCUUUCAACCUCCAAUGUUCCUUCUCAGAGCCUUUUUUUCACUUUUCAAGAGCUUCCCUUAUGCACAAUCAAGAGUCUGCGAAGGUGCUCGAGAAGAUGGAACAGGCUUAGCAACAAGUAUGUCGAGGGUAUAAAGUUAAUACCGAGGGAGGUGAUCUUGUUUGGAGUUAAUGUGAUGGCGACGUGAUGAUUUGGAGCUGAGUGAGUGCUUCAAUGGCCGUUAAUACCAGGAGGAAGAAUUGAGAAGGGUAUUGAGGUCAAUUAAUUAAUUAAUUAUAUUACUUAAAAUAAUUAAGAGUAAGCAUAUAUGAAAGUGAGAUCAGAGGAAGGAACUGAUUAAGAAAUGAGUAAAAGUUGACUCCAAAUACAGCAACUUUCUCCGUCUCCUCCUCUGUUCUGCCAUUUUCUAUAUAUGCUUCUUUUAAUAAUAAUAAUAAUAAUAAUAAUAAUAAUAAUAAUAAUAAUAAUAAUACCAAAGAUGGGGAAGCAUAUCAACAUCUUUACUUUAAUUAAAUAACAAUAUUAGCUGAAGAUUAUUUCAUGAAAGGUGAAGAUCGUCCUGGAGAAAGAUGAUGCUUAGUGAAGAUUUUCUUCUUCAAAAUUUCCAGUGAAGAAAUCACUCAGGACAUCAGAUAGGGGCCAGACUUCAUACAUAUGGAGUAAAGUGAUUAUCAUUUACAAUUUUAUGUUAAUUAAGUUAUGCAAAUUAUCUAAUGUAUCAAAAUAUUAUGAUUAUCACAGAACAGAUAUACAACUGGAGUAUAUCUUUGUUUUAUAUGUUUAAUGUAAAAGUAAUGACAAUUUAUGUAUUA